CCCGGAUAUGUAGCAAGCGCCUAGCCUUUAGCAAUAUAAACGGGGCUCUCCACAGACAAACGGCAGAUUUCUAACAAUCAUAUUUCCAAUCAAUUCAUCAUUUUAUCGCAAGUGUAACACGAAACACAGAACCGUUUAAGCUUCACAUUAUGUUUCUAGGUUGACGUUGUUUUAGGCUCCACGACGUCCGCAAUGGUUAGCUCUCAUAGCCACCAUGGGCUAUCGCUAACUAGCCGCCCUGUCACCUUGGCUGUCAUCUCCAGAACUGCUCACGCUCGAGCCUCAACGUCCUUGAGACCAACUGGAAAUAUACGCUCUCUCCCUGGCCCCUCUCACCCCAUGAACUUCCUGAAGACCUCUGUCCCUGUCUCCUGCACUGUCAAGAUGAUCCACUGCUGCUGAGAAACACACCAACAAUCCUGUUUUGUACACAACUGAAAAACUCAAGCGGUUGGGCAUGAGAUAGGAAUCCAUCACUUUUUUCUUACCCAUGUUUGCACUUGGUUUUGCUCCAGAUGCGAUUUCCCCCUCUCCAUAACUUGAUCUACAACACAUUCCAUACAUAAUGAUUAAUCAUAUUGAGGAUCGUAAAUUAAACACUAAAAUGGUUGCGUGAGGUCCUCUAUAAGAGGCAGGGGAGCUUAUGGCCGGAUUACCAAUCUAGAUUCAUCUGACUCUGUUUCAAUGACGCCCACCACUCCCAACCCGCCCAAUCUGUUUCCACGAAGCACAACGCACUGCCUACCGUCGUAGUCUGUUUCCUUAUCUCUUACCUCAGUGGGUCUAUCCCAGCUGCAGCACCCUGCUCUCCAACGAGGGAGGCCAGAGACAGCCAUGGAGGAACGCUGACAGCAUCGGUCACCUUCCUCAACCGUGCCCCGUCGUGGUGGAAGCGCUUCAUGUGAAGGAGUAACACUCUGUGGACACAAACGGUUCAUCGUCCGAUCGCUGCAUGCACACACGCGCCCGUACGUAUGAAAAGUCUGCUUCAAGGCAACAUUGGAGACAACAGACUCAAGUUCAUGGCUCACCUGGGCAGAGUGAGGAAAUGCCGAACCGCUGUUGCCUGGCAUCCAGAGCACUGCCGGCAGGUGCACUCCAACUCUGAAGGCUGAGGGAAAGUGCUCUGUGAGUAUCAGUGGACCAGCGUAAUCGGACACACCAACACAACGGUGUACUGACUUUGAAGUAGAAUUGGAGGCCAGCUAUCAACGACGGGUGGAGGUCCAAGGACAAGUGGUUCUGCUCCUCCUCCUGGAAGACCUUGUCACCGCAGCUUUUAAGACGGGCAGAGAACAGAAAAUCACCAUUUGAACACAGCAGACCAGAUCAUGAUGCCAAAAGUGUUGGCGUAACAUUGAUUGACUCUGAUUUCCAUCAUUCAAUGAUGGAGGAACUAUAGUAGUAUUAUGCGACAACAAUAAUACGUUCGAUGAAGUCAAGCGUUACCUGGUGCAGGUGCGUACACACUGCAGUCUGAACUCAAAGUUCUGGACGGGGCAGAUAUAGCUGGGUGACGUGGAGAUCUCCUGCAGUGUCUCACCUUCCAUCUUCAUCUUCAUGAAGAGGAGGAGCAGGAACUCAUGAGCAUCCUGUCAGAAACCAGAAGUUCAGUUGACAUGUGUUUAAUCCUCAACAAGCGCAUAAGCCAAGAGAUAAGGACUCAUCAGCUGUACCUGCUCAGUGAUAUGCUCGUACUCCUCGUUGGACUCUGCCAGACUGCUCUUGAUGGACCAAAGGAGCCGGCGCUUGCCUUUGUAGGAGCCCUCACCCUGCCGGGAUUUAUAUAGCUCCCCCAAGUACCUGGAGAACAGCAUCAGAAAAAAACCAAGUGCAUUUAGUAUACCUACUGUACUUAAUAUUGUACAGUGGAGCAUUCACUUUGUCAGUAAAUCGUCCAAGCUGUACUGUAGUUUGUGAGGGCUAUGGUUCUGGUUCUCCUCUAGUGUGAGGGCUAAGGGUCUGGUUCUCCUCUAGUGUGAGGGCUAAGGGUCUGGUUCUCCUCUGGUGUGAGGGCUAAGGGUCUGGUUCUCCUCUGGUGUGAGGGCUAAGGGUCUGGUUCUCCUCUAGUGUGAGGGCUUAGGGUCUGGUUCUCUAGUGUGAGGGCUAAGGGUCUGGAUCUCUACUGGACCUCAGCAGCUUCAGCUUGGUUCUUCUCCGGGGGCUCCAGAGGUCCUCCUGCCCCGUGAUGUCACUGCAGAAGCAGGGCAGGCUGUAGAGACACUGCAGGGACGCGUUCAGGAAGCAGCUGUUUCCAAUGUUGGGCAAGCUGAAGAAAACACAUACACAUCAUUAGUCAAUGUACCAGCCCGGAGUAUAUAGUCGUGAUGAUUAGGUUUUAAAGAAGAGACAACCAAUGUUUGGGAAAGUGUAAAUCUCUACAAAUAUAACCAGAACUCCUUAAACUAUGGACUAUAAGGGGGUGAAGGCAUCAGCGGCCCCAAACAGGCUGGUUGUAUUCAUGUUUAUUCUCUAAAGAACCAGCUCAAGAGAUGUCUUUCCUGUCUCUUACCCAAGGGCCUCCUGGUGUUGCUGGGUCUUGCUCCUACCAGAGGAGGCCCGCAGCCGGCUGACCUCGUCCCUCUGAGGCUGACUGCAACACACAGGGACGAGGGGAACAGAGAGGGAAACACAGCAAUGAGGAGGAUAGUCACGUCACGUAUAAGCAAAACGGACUCAUUCAUUCAUCGAUUUCUAUCUGAUGUCCAAUCCUGUGCUGAUGGAUCUCCCUGAUGCAAUCAGCAAAGGUUGGCUCCUGCUGUCAUACCACUGCAGAGAUGAGAAGCGACGAGGCCGGGAGAACUCUGAGGACCGACCACCACCACGGUUAAGACAAUAAUAGUUGAUCUGUGGGACAUGCUGUCUACUCAAUGGAGGACUGCUUCAAAGUACCUGUUGUCUGGGCAGGAGGCCCAGUGGGGUCCACCUCAUUGAGCUCACUCCCAGCUACUGCAGGUACCCUGAAACGCACACAUUCAUCAAGGUCAACUGAGGAUGGGGGCUGAUGUUUUAAGGACAAAUAAAAAGCAGGAAUGCAAAUUGAAAAGUUAGAAACAUGGAUGAGUCAUUUUUGGCAUAAUUUCACCGGCGGUGAACUUAAUGCUACUUGUUACCUACAUUUGAUUCCCCAGUACAUCCUCAUCAGGCAGGGUGGUGUCCUCUGAGGUCCCUUUGCUGCUCUGCUCACCGACAUCUGAUGACCGUCCUGGUGGGGAGGAGACAUCUCUGCUGCUGGGGGUGAUGACAUCUGGAAGGUCCAGGAUUCCUGUUGGAGAGAGAGAGGAGGGGGGGGAGGGAGAAAGAGACACAGUUAUUGGGGAGAUACCAGAGGACAGAAGAACAGGAACAGGGAACGGAACAGGGGAGGAUGGGGAC
ensembl:lncRNA